rnacentral:rRNA from 1 species
AACGAACGCUGGCGGCAGGCCUAACACAUGCAAGUCGAGCGGACAUCUUCGGAUGUUAGCGGCGGACGGGUGAGUAACGCGUGGGAACGUGCUCUUUGCUUCGGAAUAGCCUCGGGAAACUGGGAGUAAUACCGGAUGUACCCUUUGGGGGAAAGAUUUAUCGGCAAAGGAUCGGCCCGCGUUGGAUUAGGUAGUUGGUGGGGUAAUGGCCUACCAAGCCGACGAUCCAUAGCUGGUUUGAGAGGAUGAUCAGCCACACUGGGACUGAGACACGGCCCAGACUCCUACGGGAGGCAGCAGUGGGGAAUCUUAGACAAUGGGGGAAACCCUGAUCUAGCCAUGCCGCGUGAGCGAUGAAGGCCUUAGGGUUGUAAAGCUCUUUCACCGGGGAAGAUAAUGACGGUACCCGGAGAAGAAGCCCCGGCUAACUCCGUG